rnacentral:rRNA from 1 species
CGGGACGGGUGAGUAACGCGUGGAUAACCUGCCUCACACAGGGGGAUAACAGUUAGAAAUGACUGCUAAUACCGCAUAAGCGCACGGUACCGCAUGGUACAGUGCGAAAAACUCCGGUGGUGUGAGAUGGAUCCGCGUCUGAUUAGGUAGUUGGUGAGGUAACGGCCCACCAAGCCGACGAUCAGUAGCCGACCUGAGAGGGUGACCGGCCACAUUGGGACUGAGACACGGCCCAA